rnacentral:snRNA from 1 species
GUGCUCGCUUUGGCAGCACAUAUACUAAAAUUGGAAUGAUACAGAGAUUAGCAUGGCCCCUGCGCAUGGAUGACAUGCAAAUUCGUGAAGUGCUCCCUAUUUUU